rnacentral:snoRNA from 1 species
AUUUGAUGAUGGGGUAGCUUGCACAUAAUUUCUUGAAACGUUCCCAGUAUUCAUGUAAGGACUCCCCGUUGUAUUGCCUUACACCACAAAUUUCUUUUCUAAUAUU